rnacentral:lncRNA from 1 species
GAUCGACUCCGUUAGAUUUAAUCUACACUAUUGAAAGUAUUUGGAAACUAAAUUUCAUAAUUUUUCGGCAUUAUUUACCUAUCAAACGAGUAGUCUAAAAGUGAACAGCUGAAAAUAAAAAUCUCAUAAAAGAUAAUAAAAAACUUGAAUUUAGGAUCAGAGGUACUGAUCUUACUCUAAAUAGUGAAAAGAAUUUUCUAUAAAAAUUUUAUCAGAUUUGAAUUGUUUUACACCGUUAAAUUCACAAAUGCAUCACAUUUAUCAGUGAAAUUGUCAAUUUUGAGACCUUUUGAUCACUAGCCGAAUGAUGCCGAAAAAUUAUGAAAUUUAGUUUCCAAAUACUUUCAAUAGUGUAGAUCAAGUCUAACGGAGUCGAUCGUCAAUUUGGAUGUCGUAUCAUUGAAAACAACUUGGUAGCGCGGAGGCCUCCGUACUACCGAUAAUAUGCCAGCCAAGCUCUCUCUAUAUAUAUAGAACUAGGCUGGAAUACUAUCAAUAGCACCAAGCUAUUGGUACUAUUGAUUUUUAGCCCUUAGAUUGAGAAAUGGGUUGUUAGGAUGAUGUGGGCCCCCUAGGAUUGAGUGAGUGGUUGGUUGAAUAGUAUAAUCCAACGGGUAAAAAUAAUCAAAGGGUUAAAUCUAACGGUGGAAAACUCGAUAGCACCAAAUCCUUGGUACUAUCGAUAGAAUCCCAGUCGGACUCAUAUAUAUAUAUAUAUAUAUAUAUAAUUGAGCUAGAAUACUUUUAGAAGUACCAACCCCUUGGUGCUUCUAGGUUUCUAGCCCUUGGAUCUACUCCUUGAUUACUAAUAGCCCUUGGAUCAAACACUAUUCCACCUACCACCACCUACACCAUCAUCCCAACCCUACAUCUCUCCAUCCAAGGGCUAAACACUCACAAGCACCACCUUCUUGGUGCUUUUGAAAGUAUUCUAGCUCAACUCUAUAUAUAUAUAUAUAUGAGUUGGGCUAGAAUACUAUUGAUAGUAAAAGAUCCUUUGUGCUCAUAGUUAGUUAAUUCGGAUUCGGCAAAAAUUCGGUACGGAUAUAAUUCGGAUAAAAUUCGUAUUCUAAAUUUUAAAUUCGUUGAAAAAAUCGGCUUAAAAACGGAUUCGUCAAUUAUUCGGAUACGUGAUUUAUACGGAUAUUAUACGUUUAACAAUUAAAAAUUCGGGAUCAAAAAUUCGGCUAUUAAAUUAAUUUUUUUCUCUCAAAAUUUAUACAAUUAGCAUAAAUAUUCAUAUUUUUUAAAAAUAUAAAAAUAAAAAGCUACAAAAUUAAGUAAAAAAUAAUAAUAAACAGAGAAUGAACACAUUCAUGAAAUUGAUUAGGUAUAAUACAAGAGUUCCUGGUACCUAAGUUAAUUAAGAUUAUUUAGCUCUAUGUUUGGGUCUUCUUUGUGCAUAACAGAGAAUUAAUGGACACAUUCAAUUUAAGCACUCGAGCCAUUUGUGUAUAAAAAAGUAUCCAUCAAAUGGACUAAAAGCUUCCAACUUUUGCUUUGUAAAAAAACCACCCGAUUCCUGAUCUAUUGUUGGAUAGCAGAAGCGGAAGCGGAAGAGGCGACGAGGAGGGUUUCGAUUUCUGAAGAGUGAAGAACCCGAUCUUCGAUCUUCAAUUUCUGAAGACGAGGGCUUCCGAUGGCGUUCGGCGAGCGGCCGGAAGGGAAGAGGGGGAGGGGAAGGGACCGCGACCGCCAUAGGGUCGGUGGCAGGGCCGCACGCCGCACCGCCGCAGGGGUGAGAAGUUAGGGCAAACCCUUUUUUUGGGAGCGGUGGGGGUGGGAGUGGG